UACGUAGGAUGCAAGCGUUGUCCGGAAUUAUUGGGCGUAAAGAGCGCGCAGGCGGUAUGACAAGUCAGAUGUGAAAGAGGCCGGCUUAACCGGCAAGGGUCAUUUGAAACUGUCAGACUAGAGUGCAGCAGAGGAUAGUGGAAUUCCCGGUGUAGUGGUGAAAUGCGUAGAUAUCGGGAGGAACACCAGUGGCGAAGGCGGCUCACUGGUCCGGUACUGACGCUGAGGUGCG
rnacentral:rRNA from 1 species